rnacentral:rRNA from 1 species
ACAUCAUCUUGAAACACCAGUUCUCGUACGAUCACCGAAGUUAAGUAACGUCGAGCCUGGUCAUUACCUAGAUGGGUGACCGCUUGGGAAUACUAGGUACUGUAAG